rnacentral:rRNA from 1 species
UACGGGGGGAGCAAGCGUUGUUCGGAUUUACUGGGCGUAAAGGGCGCGUAGGCGGCCUUCUAAGUCGAACGUGAAAUCCCCGGGCUCAACCCGGGAACUGCGUCCGAUACUGGAAGGCUUGAAUCCGGGAGAGGGAUGUGGAAUUCCAGGUGUAGCGGUGAAAUGCGUAGAUAUCUGGAGGAACACCGGUGGCGAAGGCGACAUCCUGGACCGGUAUGACGCUGAGGCGCGAAAGCCCAGGGGAGCAA